CCUACGGGAGGCAGCAGUGAGGAAUAUUGGUCAAUGGACGAGAGUCUGAACCAGCCAAGUAGCGUGAAGGAUGACUGCCCUAUGGGUUGUAAACUUCUUUUAUAUGGGAAUAAAACGUUCCACGUGUGGGAUUUUGUAUGUACCAUAUGAAUAAGGAUCGGCUAACUCCGUGCCAGCAGCCGCGGUAAUACGGAGGAUCCGAGCGUUAUCCGGAUUUAUUGGGUUUAAAGGGAGCGUAGGUGGAUUGUUAAGUAAGUUGUGAAAGUUUGCGGCUCAACCGUAAAAUUGCAGUUGAAACUGGCAGUCUUGAGUACAGUAGAGGUGGGCGGAAUUCGUUGUGUAGCGGUGAAAUGCUUAGAUAUCACGAAGAACUCCGAUUGCGAAGGCAGUUCACUGGACUGCAACUGACACUGAGGCUCGAAAGUGUGGGUAUCAAACAGGAUUAGAUACCCCAGUAGUC
rnacentral:rRNA from 1 species